UACGUAGGGGGCAAGCGUUGUCCGGAUUCAUUGGGCGUAAAGGGUGCGUAGGUGGUCUGGUAAGUCGGAUGUGAAAUCCCGGAGCUUAACUUCGGAACUGCAUUCGAUACUGCCGGACUGGAGUACUGGAGAGGAGAUCGGAAUUUACGGUGUAGCAGUGAAAUGCGUAGAUAUCGUAAGGAAGACCAGUGGCGAAGGCGGAUCUCUGGACAGUUACUGACACUGAGGCACGAAGGCCAGGGGAGCAAACGGG
rnacentral:rRNA from 1 species